GGCGUUCGGCGAAGCCACAAUAUUCGGGAACAAGCCUCCGGGUCCAACCCCAACACCACACAGCAAAAAAAAUAUUAAAAUGCAGCGACGCAACUUUACGAAACGCACUCAAUAAAUUGAUGUAAUUGGUGAUUUCACGUACUAUCACGUCACUUCAACGUUUUAUUACAUCGCUACCCGUAAGAUUUGAUUGAGAUUAAUCACCUAUCAAUUACGUCAUUAAAGCAUAAAAUUUACCAUAUUUUUCAACAAUUUACUACAUUCAAAAUGCUGCACAUCAUGCUGGUUCACAAUAAAAUAUAAUAUUACAGAAAUCAACGUAAUAUCGCUUUAAAAAAACUGCAACUACUCGUCAACAACACAGGAGCCAACUGACAGCCAUUUUCACUUUUUCGUUUGCGCUGAAAGACGGUGAUCGGCAAUCAUCAAUUUACUUCCAAAACUAUAUUUAUUUAUGAAAAUGUGAAGUUAAAUUAGUGCUGUGUUCAUAGCUCUUGCUGACAAAUAAAGCUCUUGCUCAUCGUGCUCAUCUAAUACUCAUCAUGAGGGCGAGGAAAACAAUUCCGCAGGUAAAAUAAUGGAGUUUGUGAGUUCGUUGCUUUCCUGCCUUACCCGUUCGUCGAUAAGAAAAAAAUAUGGUUCCGCAGGUACUCUUCCGGAAUCGGAAGCACACACAACAAAGGAAGCAAGCGAUUGGAUAAUUAUUAAACAGCAAAACAUGAGUAACUCAGGAGCUGUCGACAUGUCAAAGGCUGAUUAAAGAUCACAAAAAACGGUAAGAAGAGCAACCAUUUAAGCAGCAUCUUUACUCCCGUCCCGAAUUAUUAGUUACAAGUUACGAAUUACCUAUUUUCUAUAGGUGUUCAGUGAUAAUUUGUAAAUAAUUAGGCCAUUUGCUUAGGAUUCGCUUGUGUAAUGAACGCUCAGGAAGGGAGUAGGAGUGCUACCCAAAUGAUCCUAUGUUUUCCUGUCUGAGAGUGAGGGCGGGAGAAGCAUUGGAAAUAAAACAACAUCGGAAACAGCUCAAAAUAAUUUUCUUAAUGAAACAAUAGUUUAAUUGUAAGGUGAUAUCAAGCAAGAAAAAAUAUUACUAAAAAUCAACAAAAGAAAAAUGAAAAAUAAACAACAAAUACUAAAAAUAGAAAUAACAAAAUUUGAAACAAAC